GGGAUAACAGUUAGAAAUGACUGCUAAUACCGCAUAAGCGCACAGGACCGCAUGGUCCGGUGUGAAAAACUCCGGUGGUAUGAGAUGGACCCGCGUCUGAUUAGCUGGUUGGCGGGGUAACGGCCCACCAAGGCGACGAUCAGUAGCCGACCUGAGAGGGUGGCCGGCCACAUUGGGACUGAGACACGGCCCAAACUCCUACGGGAGGCAGCAGUGGGGAAUAUUGCACAAUGGGGGAAACCCUGAUGCAGCAACGCCGCGUGAGUGAAGAAGUAUUUCGGUAUGUAAAGCUCUAUCAGCAGGGAAGAAAAAAGACGGUACCUGACUAAGAAGCCCCGGCUAACUACGUGCCAGCAGCCGCGGUAAUACGUAGGGGGCAAGCGUUAUCCGGAUUUACUGGGUGUAAAGGGAGCGUAGACGGCAUAGCAAGUCUGAAGUGAAAGCCCGUGGCUCAACCGCGGAACUGCUUUGGAAACUGUUAAGCUGGAGUACUGGAGAGGCAAGCGGAAUUCCUAGUGUAGCGGUGAAAUGCGUAGAUAUUAGGAGGAACACCAGUGGCGAAGGCGGCUUGCUGGACAGAGACUGACGUUGAGGCUCGAAAGCGUGGGGAGCAAACAGGAUUAGAUACCCUGGUAGUCCACGCGGUAAACGAUGAAUGAUAGGUGUUGGCGGGCAAAGCCCGUCGGUGCCGCCG
rnacentral:rRNA from 1 species